GAACAGACCAACAACAACACCAAGAAUGAGUAGUAGCAGUCCUCCAGCUAAAAUGUACACAAGAUACGUUUUUGUGACGAGGAAAUUGGCUGGCAACAUUUAUAAUUCAGUACCAUAACAACGCUAUAAAAAAACUCAGCUGAUACAUUAAAAAUUUGAAAAUAUUUCGAACAGGCAAGAAAAAUAUGUAUGUAGAAAGCAGUCAUUUGUCAAAGUCAAUUAAACCAACAUAGCCAGAUGGCAUUAACACAAA